GGCAACAAGAAAUGUGAAGGUGCAUGAGUCAUCUGGAGCAGAACCGCUUGAAUGGAGCAAAUAAAGCCUUAAUGUCAGCUUCCCUCUUAAUACUGCUGCUGACUGAAAAAUUGUGGGGAGGAGAGUCAAUUAGGCGGGAGGAAAGAUAAUCCAGCAAGUUUGCAGGCCAAAUGGCUUUCUGAAUAUGAGCCCACAAAGCAUUGAAUCAGACAGCAUACUGCUCAGGGAGAUUCCAGCACAGUUCAGCCAUAAGGAGAGCACUGACAUAAUGGUAGGUCCCACACCUGAUGACAUAGGAGUUCCAUGAAAGCAGAGGGGAAACAAUAAACCCAAAGCCUGGGUACAGUUGUCAACGCACAAAUCCAUAAACCAA